rnacentral:ncRNA from 1 species
GUAUCUUGAUAUUUUGUUCUACACACAGCAAUUCCCCGACACGAUGUCGGGGAAAGGUGCUGCUGAGCCAUGGAUGGCGAAUCAGUACCGUUUGCGUACGUCGCCAGCACACUCUCACAAAAUAUUUAGAUACCCGG